rnacentral:rRNA from 1 species
UACGAAGGGGGCUAGCGUUGCUCGGAAUCACUGGGCGUAAAGGGUGCGUAGGCGGGUCUUUUAAGUCAGGGGUGAAAUCCUGGAGCUCAACUCCAGAACUGCCUUUGAUACUGUUUGGCUUGAGACCGGAAGAGGUUAGUGGAACUGCGAGUGUAGAGGUGAAACUCGUAGAUAUUCGCAAGAACACCAGUGGCGAAGGCGGCUAACUGGUCCGGUUCUGACGCUGAGGCGCGAAAGCGUGGGGAGCAAACAGG